AACAUUUUUUUGAUGCAUUUCCUUCCAGGUUUUCCUGCUCUGUGGUAUAUAUGUCUCCCCAACCAGUAAACCAGACACGCAGCAGCAUACGCCACUCAGAACGAGGGAGAAUGGACGGGAGUGUCCAUGACUGGUGCACUGACUAGAUCGGAUGGCUAAGGACAGAGCGGACCUCGAGAAGCCGGACCAAGGUCUGCCUGUGCAGCGGCAGCAUUCAUAAGAACCAAAAGCUGGAAGCAAUCCGGUGUCCGUCCGGGGAGCGGCACAUACAUCCGUGUGUCCCUCAGAACACGAGUCAGCCAGAACAAGGAAUAGAGAUCCGACCCACACCACAACACGGGUGAACCUCGCAGACACAGGGCCAAGUCACACAAGUGGUCACAGAAGGACAGAUGCCUUGUGCACCCCCGGCUCACGUUCCCUUCUCGCCCCUCCCCCCGUUUCCUGGGGUCACCACCCAAGACACGGUCCGAUUGGAGUGGGGCUCACCUCAGCAACCUUUUUAAAUCUUAAUCACCUCCUGAAAUACCUUGUCUCUGCGCACAAUCACACCGAGAGGUGCUGGGGUUCCGACCUCCAUACACGAAUCCCGGGGGACCCAAUUCAGCGCAUCCCAGGGACUGAGCCAGUGAA